CACAUUACUGGGCAUAUGACUUGAGUCGGCAUCCAUACACGCAAGUUACCACAAGACAAAUAGGGAACAUUCUCAACUAAAUCAAUCACUACCUCCUGCUUGGUACUUACAACUACAAGGAACUACAAUCCCUACCAGGUUCCUUAAUUUUGCCAUGCCAAUCAUACCACAAGACCACGCUUUCACAUCCAGAGUACUUUCCCCUUUUUUCCACACUUCCAACAUG